ACAUUUAAAUAGAUUGAUUACCUAGAUCUUUCUAGAUUAUGUAUCUACAAAUCACAAAAUAACUAUUAUGAGACGAGAGUACACUUAUUUUUAAUGUUCAAUUACUAGAUCUAGAUUUAAAAAUUAAAUUAUAUGUUACAUAGGUUAGGGUUGAAAAAAACAACAAGCUUACUCUUUUUAACUACUUUACAAAACAACGCCUUGAUCCAACUUUCUAAAAAAUUUUCACAUUUUCUGUAGUGUUAAAAAAUCUCCAUGGCCAGUCUAGAGUAGUAUAUAGAAGUC